GAUUGAGUGUAGUCUGGCCCAGGAGUGUGAAGGUGAACGGAAAGGCUCUGGAGCAACGAACCGCCCUUGCUGUCUCUGUCUGGCCGGUUCCCCUCUUUCCACUGGGAUUCUCUGCCUCUAACCCUAUUACAGGGGCUGAGUCACUGGCUUACUGGUGCUCUUUCAUGUCGUCCUUAGGAGGGGUGCAUCACUUGAGUGGGUUGAGUCACGGAUGUGAUCUUCCUGUCUGGGUUGGCGCCCCCCCUUGGGUUGUGCCGUGGCAGAGAUCUUUGUGGGCUAUACUCGGCCUUGUCUCAGGAUGGUAAGUUGGUGGUUGAAGAUAUCCCUCUAGUGGUGUGGGGGCUGUGCUUUGGCGAAGUGGGUGGGGUUAUAUCUUGCCUGUUUGGCCCUGUCCGGGGGUAUCAUCGGAUGGGGCCACAGCACAGUGUCUCCUGACCCCUCCUGUCUCAGCCUCCAGUAUUUAUGCUGCAGUAGUUUAUGUGUCGGGGGGCUAGGGUCAGUUUGUUAAAUCUGGAGUACUUCUCCUGUCUUAUCCGGUGUCCUGUGUGAAUUUAAGUAUGCUCUCUCUAAUUCUCUCUUUCUCUUUGUCUCUCUGAGGACCUGAGCCCUAGGACCAUACCUGGCAUAAUGACUCCUUGCUGUCCCCAGUCCACCUGGCCGUGCUGCUGCUCCAGUUUCAACUGUUCUGCCUGUGAUUAUUAUUAUUUGACCAUGCUGGUCAUUUAUAAACAUUUGAACAUCUUGACCAUGUUCUGUUAUAAUCUCCACCCGGCACAGCCAGAAGAGGACUGGCCACCCCUCAUAGCCUGGUUCCUCUCUAGGUUUCUUCCUAGGUUUUGGCCUUUCUAGGGAGAUUUUCCUUGCCACCGUGCUUCUACACCUGCAUUGCUUGCUGUUUGGGGUUUUAGGCUGGGUUUCUGUACAGCACUUUGAGAUAUCAGCUGAUGUACGAAGGGCUAUAUAAAUAAAUUUGAUUUGAUUUGUUGCUGCAACCAUCUGUCUUAUGUAACCAUACCAAAUUUAACAUAUCAUACUAAAUGGAGUGUCUCGGAUUUACUUACAGAAUAAUAUGAAAUGCUCUGAGACCAGGCUGCAACUGUUUCCCGUAUGUAUCAAGAAUGGUACACCAGUCAACGGACAUGCAGCCAACUUGACACAACUGUGGGAAGAGUGUGGAGUCGACAUGGGCCAGCAUCCCUGUGGAACGCUUUUGACACAUUGUGGAGUCCAAACCCUGAAGAAUUACGGAUGUUCUGAGGGCAAAAGGGGAAGCAACUCAAUAUUGGGAAGGCGUUCCUAAUGUUUCGUAUAUUCAGUGUACGUUCACAAUACAAUCCUUUGACUUGAAUUCAACAGUUUGAAUACAACAGUGUCAGCAUUAUUCUAUUAUUACGCACUUUGCCCAAAUUAUUUCGAGGUCUCUAAAGUGUCCAUACCCCAUUGAUUGGGGUACAUCUUACCUAAACCUGUCCACAUUGAUACCAUGCGCAAAUAGUUUCUCUCCAACGAAACCGAAAGAAAGUGAAAAUGUGAUUGAUCGCGGAAGUUUUUCUCGACUUGAUGGGACUGGAGUUUGGUGAAAUCCUAAGCCCACCGCCAGCAACCCAUGACGGAGAGGGAAACUAAAGACGACAACGGGGAUUCAGCAAUGUUGGUAACCACGCAUCUUCGGGAAAACCACUGCACAUCCUGGGUCCGCUUGCCAACGCUUAGACUUUUUUCAUUAAACCAUAUUUAAACAACCACAUAGGCGACUUACCGUUUGGAUACAAUGUACGCAGCCCUACCAUGAAUAACUCCCACCGCUCUUGCUGGCCCCCGAGGACAGGGAUUUGCUCGUCUGAAGAACAUUUAUAGAAAAUGAUAAAUGUGUGUGAACGGGCCUGUGCUCCGUAGCGUCUUGGUGUUUCUGCUGUUGGGUGUCUCCUACACUAAGCACAGGUGCAACUAUUCGGAGAUACUCGGCUCAUACAGAGAACUCAUCUUCGUUGAACUUCAGAAUUUGAAUCUGACUGGCAAUUUUGACACGUCCAAAGAGAGGGACCGUUGUCCCUCAGGAAAGGUGCAGCACGUUUUGCGCUCCAUCCAUGGUAUGACUCAGCAGUUCCUGUGCCAGAGCCGCAGGCAGGGCAUUAGACAACAGGGGGACAUGGAGAAACCAGUGGAGAUGAUGGAACAGCUGAUCAGACAGAACUGCAAACACACUAACCUGUGUUUUGCUUUCUUUUAGGUGAGAGGACAGAAGAGAGCCGCCCUGUGUGUGACUUCCCAGAGAACGAAGGGAAAGAAGAAGAAGAGGAUAAGGGCACUGAUAAACUGUUGGCAGAAGCUGCAGAGUGUGUACUUGCCCACAAAAUGAAUGGGAAAUACUAUGUUUUUCUUUGUUUUGGUGUUUUGGCAACCACACUGUGAACAGUUGAACACAUGCACAGAUAUUGCAGAAAUGCUGCAUCUCGCUCAUCUCAAUAUCUCCGGUGCUGCUCGAGGCGAUGACAUUCUACCUUUAAUAAUGGUUGUUAGAGGAUGGUAUACAAUGCAAUUCAAAUAUUUACUUGUAAUACUUUGUGCACACACAUAAAAAAUAUAUUAUCUCAUAAUCCAGAGAUUGCGAUUCCUUUUCUUAAACAUAUAUUUGGUAUUUGGCGUCAGCUAGUCUUACUGGGGUUCGACACAUAAUGAAAAAGACAUAACAGAAAAAAACACUAACAUGUAGUGCAUCUAUCAGUUAGACAUACAGUUGAAUUCGAACGUUUACAGACACUUAGGUUGGAGUCAUUAAAAUCCGCUUUUCAACCACUCCACACAUUUCUUGUUAACAAACUAUAGUUUUGGUAAGACGGUUAGGACAUCUACUUUGGCUUUAGAAGCUUCUGAUAGGCUAAUCGAUAUCAUUUGAGUCAAUUGGAGGUGUACCUGUGGAUGUAUUUCAAGGCCUACCUUCAAACUGCCUGAUUCUUUGAAUUUUCCCAUGAUGUCAAGCGAAGAUCAAAUCAAAGUGUGUUUGUCACGUGCGCCGAAUAUAACAGUGAAAUGCUGACUUACAGGCUCUAACCAAUAGUGCAAACAUGGUAUUAGGUGAACAAUAGGUAGGUAAAGAAAUAAAACAACAGUUAAAAGACAGGAUAUAGAAGUAGCGAGGCAACAUACAGACACCGGUUAGUCAGGCUGAUUGAGGUAGUCUGUACAUGUAGAUAUGGUUAAAGUGACUAUGCAUAUAUGAUGAACAGAGAGUAGCAGUAGCAUAAAAGAGGGGUUGGCGUGUGAUGGGUGGGACACAAUGCAGAAAGCCUGGUUAGCCAAUGUGUGGGAGCACUGGAUGUUCGGCCCAAUUGAGGUAGUAUGUGCAUGAAUGUAUAGUUAAAGUGAGUAUGCAGAUAUGAUAAACAGAGAGUAGCAGCAGUGUAAAAAGAGGGGUUGGGGGGGAGCACACAAUGCAAAAAGUCCGGGUGGCCAUUUUAUUACCUGUUCAGGUGUCUUAUGGCUUGGGGGUAAAAACUGUUGAGAAGCCUUUUUGUCCUAGACUUGGCACUACGGUACCGCUUGCCAUGCAAUAGUAGAGAGAACAGUCUAUGACUGGGGUGGCUGGGGUCUUUGACAAUAUUUAGGGCCUUCCUCUGACACCGCCUGGUGUAGAGAUCCUGGAUGGCAGGCAGCUUAGCCCCAGUGAUGGACCUGGCCUGUCUUGGUGUGUUUGGACCAUUCUAGUUUGUUGUUGAUGUGGACACCAAGGAUCUUGAAUCUCUCAAACUGCUCCACUACAGCCCCGUCGAUGAGAAUGGGGGCGUGCUCGGUCUUCCUUUUCCUGUAGUCCACAAUAAUCUCCUUAGUCUUGGUUACGUUGAGGGAUAGGUUGUUAUUCAGGUCUCUGACUUCCUCCCUAUAGGCUGUCUCAUCGUUGUCGGUGAUCAGGCCUUCCGCUGUUGUGUCGUCUGCAAACUUAAUGAUGAUGUUGGAGUCAUGCCUGGCCAUGCAGUCGUGGGUGAACAGGGAGUACAGGAGGGGACUGAGCAUGCACCCCUGGGGAGCUCCCUUGCUGAGGGUCAGCGUGGCAGAUGUGUUGAUACCUACCCUCAACCCCUGGGGCGGCCCGUCAGGAAGUCCAGGAUCCAGUUGCAGAGAGAGGUGUUUAGUCCCAGGAUCCUUAGCUUAUAGAUGAGCUUUGACGGCACUAUGGUGUUGAACGCUGAGCUGUAGUCAACGAAUAGCAUUCUCACAUAUGUGUUCCUUUUAUCCAGGUGGGAAAGAGCAGUGUGGAGUGCAAUAGAGAUUGCAUCAUCUGUGGAUCUGUUUGUGCGGUAUGCAAAUUGGAGUGGGUCUAGGGUUUCUGUGAUAAUGAUGUUGAUGUGAGCCAUUACUAGCCUUUCAAAGCACUUCAUGGCUACGGACGUGAGUGCUACGGGUCUGUAGUCAUUUAGGCAGGUUGCCUUUGUGUUCUUGGGCACGGGGACUAUGGUUGUCUGCUUGAAAUAUGUUGGUAUUACAGACUCAAUCAGGGACAUGUUGAAAAUGUCAUUGAAGACACUUGCCAGUUGGUCAGCACAUGCCCGGAGCACACGUCCUGGUAAUCCGUCUGGCCCCGCAUCCUUGUGUAUGUUGACCUGUUUAAAGGUCUUACUCACGUCGGCUACAGAGAGCGUGAUCACACAGUCGUCCGGAACAGCUGAUGCUCUCAUGCAUGCCUCAGUGUUGCUUGCCUCGAAGCGAGGCUAGAAGUGAUUUAGCUUGCGUGGUAGGCUCGUGUCACUGGGCAGCUCGUGGCUGUGCUUCCCUUUGUAGUCUGUAAUAGUUUGCAAGCCCUGCCACAUAAGACGUGCAUCGGAGCCUGUGUAGUAUGAUUCAAUCUUAGCCCUGUAUUGACUCUUUGCAUGUUUCAUGGUUCGUCGCAGGGCAUAGCAGGAUUUCUUGUAAGCUUCCGGGUUAGAGUCGCUCACCUUGAAAGCGGCAGCUCUACCCUUUAGCUCAGUGCGAAUGUUGCCUGUAAUCCAUGGCUUCUGGUUGGUGUAUGUACGUAUAGUCACUGUGGGGACAACGUCCUUGAUGCACUUAUUGAUAAAGCCAAUGACUGAUGUGGUGUACUCCUCAAUGUCAUCGGAAGAAUCCCGGAACAUGUUCCAUUCUGUGAUAGCAAAGCAGUCCUGUAGUAUAGACCGAGUCACUGGUGCUUUCUGCUUUAAUUAAGCAGUUGUGGUCGGAUUUACCAAAUGGAGGGCGAGGGAGAGCUUUGUACGUGUUUCUGUGUGUGGAGUACAGGUGAUCUAGAAUGUUUUUUUUCUCUGGUUGCACAUUUAACAUGUUGAUAAAAAUUUGGUAGAACUGAUUUAAGUUUCCCUGCAUUAACGUCUCCGGCCACUAGGAGCGUUGCCUCUGGGUGAGUGGUUUCCUGUUUGCUUAUUUCCUUAUACAGCUGACUGAGUGCGGUCUUAGUGCCAGCAUCUGUCUGUUGUGGAAAAUAAACAGCCACAAAAAGUAUACUGUAGCUGAGAACUCUCUAGGCAAGUAGUGUGGCCUGCAAUUUAUCACAAUAUACUCUUCUUCAGGCAAGCAAAAUCAAGAGACUUCCUUAGAUUUAGUGCACCAGCUGUUGUUUACAAAUAUGCACAGACCCCCCCCCCAUCCCUCGUCUUACCGGAGUGUGGUGUUCUAUCUUGCCGCUGCAGCGUAUAUCCCGCUAGCUGAAUAUCCAUGUCGUCAUUCAGCCAUUAUUCCAUGAAACAUAGGAUAUUACAGUUUUUGAUGUCCCUUUGGUAGGAUAUUCGUGAUCGUACCUCGUCUAAUUUAUUCUCCAAUGAUUGCACGUUGGCGAGUAGUAUUGACGGUAAUGACAGCUUUCCCAGUCACCUUCUCCGGGUCCUGACCAGGCAUCCGGCUCUUUGUCCUCCGUACCUGUGUCGCUUCCUCUUGCAAAUAAUGGGGAUGUCGGCCCUGCUGGGUGUUUGGAGAAUGUCUUGUACGUCUUGUUUGUUGAAGAAAAAAUCUUUGUCUAAUCCGAGGUGAGUGAUCGCUGUCCUGAGUGAUCGCUGCUCUUUUUUUGACGUAAGAUAAGGUUGCAGAAACAUUAUGUACAAAAUAAGUUAGAAAUAACGCGAAGAAAAACACAUAGAAUGCCCGUAAAACUGCUGCCAUUUCUUCUGGCGACAUUUUAACAGAACUUCCAACUUCAACUGUCCAUCCAGUUUGAUUUCUAAUUGGGUGUAGGCAAAACCUUAAUUAAGCAAAUAGGUAAACUGUGAUAUGACUAAAGAGUUUGUAAGGGUGAUUUUUCCACAAAUAGACAGGUAUUUUCCUUUUCAUGGUAGCAAGAUUGCAUCUAUUUUGUUAACUUUCUAUAAAAAUAUAUUAGAGUGAGAUCAUUUAUUUAUUUCGGGAUAUGUACACCGAGUAUGUCCACAUCUCUGUCAGACCAUUUUAUUGGUAAACUACAUGGUAAUGUAAGAGAUGUAUUUUCUUGUGAUCCAAUACAGUACACUUAUCAUAAUUAGAUUUUAAUCCAGAGGUUAGAAAAAGUAUCUUGAUCCUCUAAGAGGCCGUGGAGAGAUUCUAAUUGUGGAUUUAAAAGAAAACAUGAAUCAUCAGUGUACAACGACACCUUUGUUUUUAAGCCCUGGAUUUCUAAUCCCAUAAAAUUAUUGUUGGAUUUAAUUUUAAC
ensembl:lncRNA